rnacentral:misc_RNA from 1 species
AGAAAAAGGUCCACCGAUUAUUCUAUUUUACCAAAUAUUGUUUUGUAUUUGUUGUGAAUUCUUCAUUUUUUGAAUUAUUGUAUGAUUUUUAUCUUGAUUCAAAAGUUUUACCUGAUUUUAUUUUAAUUCAUUUUCUGUGAUAAAGCAAUGAAUUUCUUUAAUCUAUUUUUAUGUUUACAUGAUUAGGCAAUGAACAAAUUGUGAUGGACUCUGACUCCGAGUCAGAGCUGUUCUAAGUCAAUUCAUUUCGUCCAAUUUUAUCUGAAUUUUAUUUUUUAGAUUUUUUUUUCUCCUUGCAGCAAGUUUGUUUUGUUUUGAUGUUGAUUUUUGCUAUCUCUUUCUUUCUCUCAUCGUGUUUUGUACAUCUGUUCACUUUUUUAUCUUUAUUUCUUCACAGCAGAGAGCAAUGAUUAAAGUGUGCAUACAUAU